rnacentral:rRNA from 1 species
AUACGGAAGGUCCAGGCGUUAUCCGGAUUUAUUGGGUUUAAAGGGAGCGUAGGCCGUCUGUUAAGCGUGUUGUGAAAUGUAGAUGCUCAACAUCUGAAUUGCAGCGCGAACUGGCAGACUUGAGUGUGCGCAACGUAGGCGGAAUUCGUGGUGUAGCGGUGAAACGCUUAGAUAUCACGAAGAACCCCCUCCGAUUGCGAAGGCAGCUUACGGGAGCACAACUGACGCUGAAGCUCGAAAGCAUGGGUAGC